rnacentral:rRNA from 1 species
ACGCUCGACACCUACGGGAGGCAGCAGUGAGGAAUAUUGGUCAAUGGGCGCUAGCCUGAACCAGCCAAGUAGCGUGAAGGAUGAAGGCUCUAUGGGUCGUAAACUUCUUUUAUAUAAGAAUAAAGUGCAGUAUGUAUACUGUUCUGUAUGUAUUAUAUGAAUAAGGAUCGGCUAACUCCGUGCCAACAGCCGCGGUAAUCUGAGCGGGCUGGCAAGGC